GAAGGACUUUCCAGGGAGUGGCAAACGCUGGGAAACCCCAUUCACAGCGUUUAAAAACAGCGCAGAGCAAAACACUGGCAGUGUUACAAUGAAGUCCUCACUACACACUCUCCCUGCUCUUCUGGCUCUGGGAAUCUGCAUCCACUUCACAGUUCAGAGUGCAGACAGUCAGUAUGUUCCGAACCGCUGUGCCUGUCUAAAAUCCAGGAACGGAGUCCAGGGACCAUUUUCAGAUUUCUCAGUCACCUUAAAAAGACCUGGCUGUAUGAAAGACGAGAUCAUAGUGAUACUGAAGGAGGAAAACCGAAAGGUGUGUCUAAGCCCUCAUGGACCUCAAGGCAAAAGACUAUUGAAAUGCUGGCACAGAAAACAGGAGGAAGGCAACAAUGGGAAGACAUGCAUGGGAAGACUCAGACCACGGCGACAGAGAAAGCAGCGUACCAAAUCCAAGAUGAUCAAAAGAUAAUCAGUGCAGCACGAUGGCAGCUAAUGUCAUCCCGAAAACACACUACUGAAGUACACUCCAAAUACUUCAACAGCCUUCAACAGCUUCAGUAGCUUUUAUGAGCUACAUGUAGCAGUGUGAUUGUUUUACAACCUUUAUGUACAGGGCUGGCCCCAGUCGUAACUAGUUAAAAUAUAGCAAAGAGGUCAUGUUUCAAUCACAUACUAUCACUGCCAGUUUUAGUAGGAUUUAUGAGAGAAGUGGAAUAUAUUUUGCACACUGUUUGUACAUUUUUUUAAAUCUAAUUUUUGUAUGUAUAUAGAUUUUUUAUAUUAAAUUAAAAAAAAAAAAAAACAACAAACAAGUAAAAGAGCCACGUUUCAUUUUUCUAACUUCAUUAUUAUUGCAUGCAUAUCACAAUAAAUAGUCAACAGUGAGUGUGGACCUGGUUAUAAUGUUAUAAUCUUCAAGUCAGAAAGCUUAGACUUUAACCAUCGUUUGGUAAUUCAUUCAUUUAUUAAUCUCCAGUUACAGCUUUAUCAGUGCACCUGGAUGGGACUCUAGUUUAUUGCAGACCAUCACUCACAUCUUCACACAUACCGGAUAUUUGCAGUAAUCAAUCUACCUAUUGACAUGAUUUUGGGAAGACAAACAAUUAGAAAACCACACAGACAGGAAGAAAACAUGCAAAAAAACUGCUUAUACAUUAACCAGACGCUGUCUCUACAGUUCUAUUUUCCAUGACAUAGUAAUUUUGCAAUAAUUUUACUGCAUUUGUUAUUGCUGCCUGUUGUUUUGAAAAGUGACAUGAAAAAAAUUCUUUUAUAUCUAAUUGCAGGUGACACACCAAGAUAUACUGUAUAUAGCAGAGUAUAAAACUGAUUUAGUUACUUUAAAGUGAAUCCUCUUUAUUCUUGCCGCUUCUGUUUUGGCCAGACAAUGACGCCCUUCUCAAGAAUGACUGCCUCUGAUGGGUUAAUAUUUAACAAGCUAACAGUGAAUUCAUGUUUAAAGAUCUCAAGAGCUUUUAGCGAAUACUAGAAAUCAUGUGACAUAGUUCUAAAUAUGGGCAGGCAGAAAGAAAAGGGGGGAUGGCGAAGAGAGGCAUACCUCUUCCAGCAAACACAUGCACAGAUUCCUUUCACUGCAACUGCAGCUAACAUGGCCUUCAGGAGUGUGCAAGGGACUUUAACCCCACUGCUACUUAUCUUUUGCUUAAACAUCCUCACAGAUGAGAAGACAGAAGCAGUAAACAUUCGGGAGAAAUGUUUGUGCAUCAGAGAGACUGAUACUGUAUUAUGGAGACGCAUGAUGGACUUCAACGUGAUUGAUUCA